rnacentral:rRNA from 1 species
AAGCAACGCGAAGAACCUUACCAGGUCUUGACUAUCCUUUUGAAUGGUCUAGAGAUAGAUCAGGCCUUCGGGACAGAAGAGACAGGUGGUGCAUGGUUGUCGUCAGCUCGUGUCGUGAGAUGUUGGGUUAAGUCCCGCAACGAGCGCAACCCUUAUCAUUAGUUGCUAACAUUCAGUUGAGAACUCUAAUGAGACUGCCAGUGAUAAACUGGAGGAAGGUGGGAUGACGUCAAAUCAUCAUGCCCCUUAUGACCUGGGCUACACACGUGCUACAAUGGCCGGUACAAAGAGUUGCGAAACUGUGAAGUUAAGCUAAUCUCAUAAAGCCGGUCUCAGUUCGGAUUGUAGUCUGCAACUCGACUACAUGAGGUCGGAAUCGCUAGUAAUCGCGAAUCAGAAUGUCGCGGUGAAUACGUUCUCGAGUCUU